rnacentral:rRNA from 1 species
AGUGAACGCUGGCGGUAGGCCUAACACAUGCAAGUCGAAUGGCAGCACAGUAAGAGCUUGCUCUUACGGGUGGCGAGUGGCGGACGGGUGAGGAAUACAUCGGAAUCUACUUUUUCGUGGGGGAUAACGUAGGGAAACUUACGCUAAUACCGCAUACGACCUACGGGUGAAAGCAGGGGAUCUUCGGACCUUGCGCGAUUGAAUGAGCCGAUGUCGGAUUAGCCAGUUGGCGGGGUAAAGGCCCACCAAGGCGACGAUCCGUAGCUGGUCUGAGAGGAUGAUCAGCCACACUGGAACUGAGACACGGUCCAGACUCCUACAGGAGGCAGCAGUGGGGAAUAUUGGACAAUGGGCGCAAGCCUGAUCCAGCCAUACCGCGUGGGUGAAGAAGGCCUUCGGGUUGUAAAGCCCUUUUGUUGGGAAAGAAAAGCAGCAGGUUAAUACCCCGCUGUUCUGACGGUACCCAAAGAAUAAGCACCGGCUAACUUCGUG